rnacentral:tRNA from 1 species
GUGGAUAUAGUUCAGUGGUAGAACGUCGAGUUGUGGCCUCGAAGGCCGUGGGUUCAAACCCCACUAUUCAU